rnacentral:tRNA from 1 species
CGAAUAUCGGUGCAUCGGCGGGCAAGACGUGCUUCACAAGCACGACCGGAACGCCAUUUGCGUUGGCGGCGUCGAUCGCCUUGGCGAUAUUCGGC